CAGGGAGGCACUGGAAAUUUGUGUGAUGUUUAUAGGAGCUCCAGGCAACUUUCCUGCAGACAGAGAUGGGGAAAUGCAUGUCUUCAAAUUCAUGGAUUAUAGGGAAUUCCCUGCUUCUCAUGGAGAUCGUGUGGAAAUGGCAAUUGGGAUGUCGUCCUUGACAUUGGGAGCUCAGUUAAUCUCACAGAACAGUCACCCAGAUCUGUGUCUCCCUUGAGCAUCUGUCAGGGCUUUGGAGCACAAGAACCACAUCCUCUGUGAGUGUUUCUGACACUUUGUCAUUUUCCUUCCAUGACUUCUGGUUUGUACUCAGGAAAGCUUUAAAAUGACCCCACUAAAUGCUUCACUUUUCCAUGGGAAUGAAAAGCAGGCAGACUGGUAACACGUUACAUCACAAACUUGGUUUAGUGGAAGAACAGCUGAAAAUAUCAGAUUAGGAUCAUUUGAUGGGAUUUGGAUCCAUAGGUUGGUUAUGUUGGCUGACUGUAUCUGUAUGUUGAAGUUUGUAUUUAUCCAGCUUGAGCUGGAUUUCUUGGCAGAAGGAUUUAGCUGGGUUUAGAGCAAUUACAUAAAACAUACGUACCAGUUCAGAUGCUCCACAUGUAAACCAAGGGAAGACAGAGCUGCAUUCAAGAUGGGAGAGCAUCAAACACUGAACUAAGUGGACUGAUAGCAGCAGGGAGGAGCUUGAAGGAUGACAAGCCUUAAAUUGAAACACUGAGUUUUCCUUCUGUUUGUAUUGAAGGGUUUUAUUCCUUUCCUUGUUUAUUCUGCUUUUGCAAAUAUGUUUCCUGUAGUCCUGAAAGAGCCUCUGAUAAAAAAUAAC